AUGAAAUCCAAGCUCCACAUCCAUCCGCACACGUCCCCCUGUCCUGCACCUCAGCCCAGCAGGGCGGCCCCGCCACGGGCCUUGGGGUCUUUCCUUCUUCCUGGGGCUCUCCCCUCCUCCUGCAAAUCCCCCUCCUCCUUCAGAAGCAGCCCCCAGGUGUGGACACAGCACGAUGCCGAGGAUGCCUCUGAGCGCCCACCUUCUUCCGAGACGGACGGGGCACGCAGUGGACACUGGAAGCAUCUGAACUGGUGUGUGAGACGUGUCUCCUUUCUCUCCGCCAAGAGUGAACGCCCUUUGACCAGGCCUUGCGGUGGUUCGGGGAGAGACGUCCAUGAGGAGAGGAAACUGAGGCCCAGAGGCAGGGCCAGCUGUGUCAUCUGUAGGGCCCAUAGAAAAUGAAAAUGUGCGGGCACGUGGUGGAGCGUCUGUCAUCCCAGCACCUCAAGAGGCCGAGGCGGGAGGAUCACGAGGUCAGAAGUUCAAGACCAGUCUGGGCAACAUAGUGAAACCCCAUCUCUAAUAAAAAUACAAAAAAUAAAAAUAAAAAUAGCCAGGCGUGGUGGAGCCUCUGUAAUCCCAGCUACUCGGGAGGCGGAGGUGGGAGAAUCGCUUGAGCCUGGGGGUCGGAGGUUGCAGUGAGCCAAGAUCAUGCCAUUGCGCUCCAGCCUGAGUGACACAGUGAGAUCCUGUCUCAAACAAACAAAAAAAAGAAGACAAUGAGAAUGUGUGCCCUUCUUUAAGAAGUAUUAAGCAUUUCAGGAUGGUGGCAGC
rnacentral:lncRNA from 10 species